UUAUAAUUAGUAUAUUGUUUGUUUUAUUAUUUAUUAAACUUUUAUAAGAAGCAACUUGUUUGUUAGUAAAUUUUAUUGAACUCGUUAUUAUUUUACUAUAGUUUAUUAUUACUGUAAAGGAAUUUUUUUAAUUAAAUAAAAGUAGAUUUUUUUUGUUGUACCUUUUGUAUCAGGGUUUAUCAAUUUUAAAUUAAUAAUUAUUAAUUUUCCCGAAAUUAAAAGAGAUAUAUAUUAAAUGAAAUUUUACGUAUUAAAGUGAUUUUUAAUUUGUAUAUAGAGGUUAUAUGCUAUUCAAUUUUAAAUAUCUGGUUUUCUAAUAUAUUAAUUUAAUUAAGAUUAUUGUUAAGUUAUUAUAUAAUUUUAUUUUUUUUAAUUACAAUAAUUAAGUUUAUGAGGGAUAAGCUUUAUAAAUAUUUUAUAACUUUUUAUUCUAAUAAAAUCUUGUAGGCUUAGUAACAGCCAUCAUUUAUUUCGUUACAGUUAACUUUUAUUUUAUAUUUAUUUAUUUGGGUUUAAAUUUUUAUUAGAAAUUUUUAUUUAAUUUUUUAUUAUAAGUAAAAAUGAUAAAAUUAGUAGUUUUGUAUAUUUGAGUAUAGGAAUUCGGCAAUUUUUAUUUCCGCCUGUUUAACAAAAACAUGUCCUUUAGAGUAUAAUUAUAGGUCUGGCCUGCCCAGUGAUAAAACUUAAACGGCCGCAGUAUUUUGACUGUGCGAAGGUAGCAUAAUCAUUUGUCUUUUAAUUGAAGGCUAGUAUGAAGGGUUGGACGAGAAAUAAACUUUCUUUACUUAAAUUUUAUGAAUUUUAUUUUUGAGUUAAAAAGCUUAAAUGUUUUUGCUAGACGAGAAGACCCUAUAGAAUUUUAUUAAAUUUAUUAUGUUUAUUGUUUGGUUAAGUAAUUGAUUUAAUAUAAUUGAUUUAAUUUUGUUGGGGCGACAAUGAAAAUUAAAUAACUUUCAUUUAUUAUUAUUCAUUAAUUAAUGUAAUUUUUGAUCCUUUAUUAUGGAUUAAGAGAUUAAAUUACCUUAGGGAUAACAGCGUAAUUUUUUCGGAGAGUUCUUAUCGAUGAAUAAAGUUUGCGACCUCGAUGUUGGAUUAAAAUUAGUUUUGGGUGCAGCAGCUCAUUAUAACUAAGUCUGUUCGACUUUUAAAUUUUUACAUGAUCUGAGUUCAGACCGGCGUGAGCCAGGUUGGUUUCUAUCUGCAAUAGAUAUAAAUUAUAUUUUAGUACGAAAGGACCGAAUAUAAAUAAUAAUUAUAUAUUUAAUUGAUUAUUAUUAA
rnacentral:rRNA from 1 species